UACAGAGGGUGCGAGCGUUAAUCGGAAUUACUGGGCGUAAAGCGUGCGUAGGUGGUGAGUUAAGUCUGUCGUGAAAGCCCGGGGCUUAACCCCGGAAUUGCACCUCAAAUCUACAUGGCUAGAGCAUUGGAGAGGGUAGCGGAAUUCACGGUGUAGCAGUGAAAUGCGUAGAUAUCAUGAGGAACACCAGAGGCGAAGGCGGGUUGCUGGGCUGAUACUGACGCUGAGGCGCGAAAGCCAGGGAGCGAACGGG
rnacentral:rRNA from 1 species